AUUAAACGCUGGCGGCAUGCCUUACACAUGCAAGUCGAACGGCAGCACGGGGGCAACCUUGGUGGCGAGUGGCGAACGGUGAGUAAAGCAUCGGAACGUGCCCCUGGAGUGGGGGAUAACGUAGCGAAAGUUACGCUAAUACCGCAUAUUCUGUGAGCAGGAAAGCAGGGGAUCGCAAGACCUUGCGCUCUGGGAGCGGCCGAUGUCGGAUUAGCUAGUUGGUGGGGUAAAGGCCUACCAAGGCGACGAUCCGUAGCGGGUCUGAGAGGAUGAUCCGCCACACUGGGACUGAGACACGGCCCAGACUCCUACGGGAGGCAGCAGUGGGGAAUUUUGGACAAUGGGCGAAAGCCUGAUCCAGCCAUGCCGCGUGAGUGAAGAAGGCC
rnacentral:rRNA from 1 species